GUCCCUGUAGCGCAAUGGAUAGCUCGUUGAACUUAUAUUCCAAAGGUCGUGGGUUCGAAUCCUAUUUGGGAUA
rnacentral:tRNA from 1 species